rnacentral:rRNA from 1 species
GACGAACGCUGGCGGCGUGCUUAACACAUGCAAGUCGAACGGAAAGGCCCUGCUUUUGUGGGGUGCUCGAGUGGCGAACGGGUGAGUAACACGUGAGUAACCUGCCCUUGACUUUGGGAUAACUUCAGGAAACUGGGGCUAAUACCGGAUAGGAGCUCCUGCUGCAUGGGGGGGGUUGGAAAGUUUCGGCGGUUGGGGAUGGACUCGCGGCUUAUCAGCUUGUUGGUGGGGUAGUGGCUUACCAAGGCUUUGACGGGUAGCCGGCCUGAGAGGGUGACCGGCCCCAUUGGGACUGAGAUACGGCCCAGACUCCUACGGGAGGCAGCAGUGGGGAAUAUUGCACAAUGGGCGGAAGCCUGAUGCAGCAACGCCGCGUGCGGGAUGACGGCCUUCGGGUUGUAAACCGCUUUCGCCUGUGACGAAGCGUGAGUGCCGGUACUGGGUAAAGAAGCACCGGCUACCUACGU